rnacentral:rRNA from 1 species
UACGGGGGGGGGCAAGCGUUGUUCGGAAUUACUGGGCGUAAAGGGCUCGUAGGCGGCCAACUAAGUCGGACGUGAAAUCCCCCGGCUUAACCUGGGAACUGCGUCUGAUACUGGGAGGCUAGAGUAUGGGAGAGGGAUGUAGAAUUCCAGGUGUAGCGGUGAAAUGCGUAGAUAUCUGGAGGAAUACCGGUGGCGAAGGCGGCAUCCUGGACCAUUACUGACGCUGAGGCGCGAAAGCUAGGGGAGCAAACGGG